CGACGCUAUGGGCAAACCAUUCGAAAGGAUGGGGCGCAAAGUCACCGGUCUAAGGGGUCAACAGCCCUAUGAUAGCGGGAUUGCUAGC
rnacentral:ncRNA from 1 species